UCAGUUCGGCUGGAUCGGAGACAGGUGCUGCAUGGCUGUCGUCAGCUCGUGUCGUGAGACUGUUGGGUUAACGUCCCGCAACGAGCGCAACCUUGUCCUUAGUUGCCAUCAUUUAGUUGGGCACUCUAAGGAGACUGCCGGUGUUAAAAAAACCGGGGAAGGUGGGAUGACGUCAAGUCCUCAUGGCCCUUAUGUCCAGGGCUACACACGUGCUACAAUGGCCGGUACAAAGGGCAGCAAAGCCGCGAGGUGGAGCCAAUCCCAGAAAGCCGGUCUCAGUUCGGAUUGGAGUCUGCAACUCGACUCCAUGAAGUUGGAAUCGCUAGUAAUCGCGGAUCAGCAUGCCGCGGUGAAUACGUUCCCGGGCCUU
rnacentral:rRNA from 1 species